CAGGGGAACCAGGAGCUCUUUUGAGACCUUCAAGAGGCUCAGGAUUGGUCUGGGACUCAGAGUUUCCCCUUCCCUUCCCUUCCAAUAUCCCCUUCUCAGUCCUACAGCCCCACCGCGGGCAUCAUUGCUGGCCUGGUUCUCCUUGGAGCUGUGCUCCCUUGAGCUGCGGUGGCUGCAGCUGUGAUGUGGAGGAAGAAGCACUCAGGGGGACAAGGAUAAGCUACACUCAGGAUGCAGGUGUAGUCCUUUUGUAACAGAGUGGUCCCCAGGAAAAGGAAAAGUUCCAGAUUCCCUGCAUCAGCAAUGGAAGGUGGAGCUAAAGAGAAGAGAAAAAAGCUGGAGAGGAGACCUAGAAGGAAGGAAGCAGGACAGAGAGCUAGAAGGAGACCUGGAGGAGGCACAUGGAGCCCAGAGACAUGUGAAGAAACUGCGCUUGCCUUUUGGUCGUGGACUGGGUGACACAGAUGUGGGUGAGAGACCCGUGGGGAGGUGACAAUGGCAGCUUUUACAUUGAUUUUGAUUUUGCUGUUUUCCUUCCAGACUCGUCCGAUUGUUUCUGAUCCUUUUCUGUGGGUCCCUACUGAAAGAUGCUUUAGACUUGAGGCAGCUUUUGGGCCUUGUUUUGUUCUGGGCCAAUCCUGCUUGGGUGGAAUUUUAGCCACAAGGGAACAGGUAACUUUGGGUGCUUGGUUUAGAAACUAUAUUCUUUGUCUUUUCUGUAUUGUUUACUAAUUGUAUUAAAGCUCCUUUCCAUUAAAGUUAUAUGUCUUGAGUUGAUGCAGCAACCUAUUUAGAGGAUGGCAGAAUCUAUUUGGAGCAGGCAGGUUUGGGGGGUCUAAGUGCCCUCUCAUUACCCUGUAAUACUUACAGUUCUCUCACCACCACAGCAUCCAUGAUCUACCACUACAAUCCCUUGUGCUCUUCCCUCCCCUGUUUGGAACCAUCUCUCUCCCUUUCCCCUGCUGUAUGCCUCAGAUCUAUGAUCAGGUUGCAAGUUUUGUAUUUACUCUGACC